rnacentral:rRNA from 1 species
CAGUCGCCGCGGGAAUACGUAGGGUGCAAGCGUUAAUCGGAAUUACUGGGCGUAAAGCGUGCGCAGGCGGUUAUAUAAGACAGAUGUGAAAUCCCCGGGCUCAACCUGGGAACUGCAUUUGUGACUGUAUAGCUAGAGUACGGCAGAGGGGGAUGGAAUUCCGCGUGUAGCAGUGAAAUGCGUAGAUAUGCGGAGGAACACCGAUGGCGAAGGCAAUCCCCUGGGCCUGUACUGACGCUCAUGCACGAAAGCGUGGGGAGCAAACAUGAUUAGAUACCCCAGUAGUCCCUGUCUCUUAUAC